rnacentral:rRNA from 1 species
UAUUUUAGACUGUAAAUUAAUAAAUUUAUUAUUUACCUAAGUACUAUGAAUAUUAUUUAAAAUUUAAAGAACUUGGCGGUAUCCUAGACUAUUUAGAGGAACCUGUAUUUUAAUCGAUAGUCCUCGUUUUACCUUACCUUUUUUUGUGUUUCAGUUUGUAUACCGUCGUCGUCAGUUAACUUUAUGAUAAAAUAGAAGUUGUCUUAUAAAAUUUAAUUUUAGAUGUCAGAUCAAGGUGCAGCUUAUAAAUUGGAAAAUAUUGGUUACUAUUAUAAAUUUAUAUUAUGAAUAGUUUUUUGAAAUAUAUUACUUGAAAAAGGAUUUAAAAGUAAUUAAAUUUAGAUAUAUUUAAUGAAUAUAGCUCUUGGAUGUGCACA